GAUAAACGCUGGCGGCGCACAUAAGACAUGCAAGUCGAACGAACUUAACCAUUAGUUUACUAUUGGAGCGGUUAGUGGCGGACUGGUGAGUAACACGUGGGUAACCUACCCAUCAGAGGGGGAUAACACUUGGAAACAGGUGCUAAUACCGCAUAACAGUUUAUGCCGCAUGGCAUAAGAGUGAAAGGCGCUUUCGGGUGUCGCUGAUGGAUGGACCCGCGGUGCAUUAGCUAGUUGGUGAGGUAACGGCUCACCAAGGCCACGAUGCAUAGCCGACCUGAGAGGGUGAUCGGCCACACUGGGACUGAGACACGGCCCAG
rnacentral:rRNA from 1 species